rnacentral:lncRNA from 1 species
GGGCUGGGAUAAGGGUCCAGGGAGAGCACUUGUCUAUCAUGCACAAGUCCCUGGACUCAGUCCCGAGUACUAAGGGGAAAAAUUCCACUAAGAAGUGCACAGAGGACCUGAAUAGACCUCCCUGCCAAGAAGACCUACAAAGGCCAAUAAGCGCGUGGAGAAACGUCUGCAUCACGAAUCACCAGAGAGAUGCAAAUCAAAGCCACCGGAGAGCUUGUGACCCCGUCAGUGUGGCUAUCAUCAAAAUCACAAGAAAUAGCAAAUGCCAGGUGAGAACGUGGAGGAAGGGAGAGUCCCAGACCUGUGGCCAGCACCGGCAGGACAGCCCGCAGAGCGGAGUUUCCUCAAAACACAAGACCGCGCUCUGCUCCCCUAACCGCCACAGGGCCCAGAGCCCGGGACAGGAGCGUAGCAGGUCCGAGGUGUGCACUCCGCAAUGAUCCCUGCAGCGUCCUUCACAGUCCCAAGAAGUGCCCUCGACCCCAGUGUCCAUCGGGGGAUUAGUGGCUAAAGAAAACGUGGCCUGUCCACAGUGGCCUCCCACGCAGCCGGAAAAAAGGGUGAUUCUGUCAUCUGCAGCAACACGG